rnacentral:rRNA from 1 species
AUGCAAGUCGAGCGGUAAGGCCCCUUCGGGGGUACACGAGCGGCGAACGGGUGAGUAACACGUGAGCAACCUACCCUCAACUUUGGGAUAAGCCUCGGAAACGGGGUCUAAUACCGGAUAAUACUGACCGUCUCCUGGUGGUUGGUUGAAAGUUCUGGCGGUUGGGGAUGGGCUCGCGGCCUAUCAGCUUGUUGGUGGGGUAAUGGCCUACCAAGGCGUCGACGGGUAGCCGGCCUGAGAGGGCGACCGGCCACACUGGGACUGAGACACGGCCCAGACUCCUACGGGAGGCAGCAGUGGGGAAUAUUGCGCAAUGGACGAAAGUCUGACGCAGCAACGCCGCGUGAGGGAUGACGGCCUUCGGGUUGUAAACCUCUUUCAGCAGGGACGAAGCGAGAGUGACGGUACCUGCAGAAGAAGGACCGGCCAACUACGUGCCAGCAGCCGCGGUAAUACGUAGGGUCCGAGCGUUGUCCGGAAUUAUUGGGCGUAAAGGGCUCGUAGGCGGUUCGUCACGUCGGGAGUGAAAACUCGGGGCUUAACCCCGAGCCUGCUUCCGAUACGGGCAGACUAGAGGUAGGCAGGGGAGAGCGGAACUCCUGGUGUAGCGGUGGAAUGCGCAGAUAUCAGGAAGAACACCGGUGGCGAAGGCGGCUCUCUGGGCCUUACCUGACGCUGAGGAGCGAAAGCGUGGGUAGCGAACAGGAUUAGAUACCCUGGUAGUCCACGCCGUAAACGUUGGGCGCUAGGUGUGGGGGA